CGUAGGGGGCUAGCGUUGUCCGGAAUCAUUGGGCGUAAAGCGCGUGUAGGCGGUCCGGUAAGUCCGCUGUGAAAGUCGGGGGCUCAACCCUCGAAAGCCGGUGGAUACUGUCGGGCUAGAGUGCGGAAGAGGCGAGUGGAAUUCCUGGUGUAGCGGUGAAAUGCGCAGAUAUCAGGAGGAACACCAAUUGCGAAGGCAGCUCGCUGGGACGUUACUGACGCUGAGACGCGAAAGCGUGGGGAGCAAACAGGAUUAGAUACCCUGGUAGUCCACGCCGUAAACGAUGGGCACUAGGUGUGGGGGGUGUCGACUCCCUCCGUGCCGAAGCUAACGCAUUAAGUGCCCCGCCUGGGGAGUACGGCCGCAAGGCUA
rnacentral:rRNA from 1 species